AGUGAACGCUGGCGGUAGGCCUAACACAUGCAAGUCGAACGGCAGCACAGUAAGAGCUUGCUCUUACGGGUGGCGAGUGGCGGACGGGUGAGGAAUACAUCGGAAUCUACUUUUUCGUGGGGGAUAACGUAGGGAAACUUACGCUAAUACCGCAUACGACCUACGGGUGAAAGCAGGGGAUCUUCGGACCUCGCGCGAUUGAAUGAGCCGAUGUCGGAUUAGCUAGUUGGCGGGGUAAAGGCCCACCAAGGCGACGAUCCGUAGCUGGUCUGAGAGGAUGAUCAGCCACACUGGAACUGAGACACGGCCCAGACUCCUACGGGAGGCAGCAGUGGGGAAUAUUGGACAAUGGGCGCAAGCCUGAUCCAGCCAUACCGCGUGGGUGAAGAAGGCCUUCGGGUUGUAAAGCCCUUUUGUUGGGAAAGAAAAGCAGCAGGUUAAUACCCCGCUGUUCUGACGGUACCCAAAGAAUAAGCACCGGCUAACUUCGUG
rnacentral:rRNA from 1 species